rnacentral:misc_RNA from 1 species
CGCGUCGUAUCUCAGCGUCCGGUACACCUCCCCUCCCCCCACACUCGGUGGGGCGGCCAAGCACGACCCCCUCUAUCCCUGUCAAUGCCGAGCUACUUCUGGUGCUGGCAUGGCCUAGUGCCUGCGGCAUAGCGAGCUCCAAGCGAUGUACCGCUGCUGAUGUCGGCGGUCAGGUCCUGGAUGGCGUGGUGCUGGCGUAACCUGCGGCGGCGAACACGCUUGCGCCAUUCAUAUAAUAGGCGAAGUGUGAGCAUGCCAUGAACGUAUCUCACCUGGCCCUCGCUGCCAACUGGUGUGGGGAGCCUGAGGCCACCCCGAGGGAAGGAUGCGCCAGGUGGCCACCGGCACUAGUGGGCGCGGCUGUGAGGCGGGCGGGCAGAGUGUGAGGCAGCGGCCACGCUCAGGUGACUGAGCCGGUGCACGGCUGUAACGCGUGUGUGCAGGGCUGCUUCGCACCACGCGAUGGGGGCCUGUGACCGGCGUGGAGGGGGUGUAGAGUUGGGGGGCGGCUAAGCCGUGUUGAAUGGCGGAGAAGCGGGCACGCUGGACGGGACAACAAGCGCAUUGGCACUCGUGCUCGAGUGAGCGAUAGGGCCUUUUUUGGAUACGGUGCCCGUUCUCCUCUGCCUCUUGGCUCGCUGACCAGUCUGUCCCCCUCCCCCUCCGCAAACCCUACCGUCUCCCACCCCCGUGGUUGUGUGCGGCGCUGCGUGUGUACGCUGAAGCCGCAAGCUCUUCCUUUUGCCAUGCUGCCUGCACCCGUCGAACCUUUGAAGAAUUGUGCCGGUGUGAGCGCGCCUGUUGUCUCCCUCUCUUUGGGUGCGUGCCAUCACUCCAGCAGUCAUCGACUCAGACCAAUAAAACACCGAAGGGCAGCUCUUCUGGUGCCUAUCCUUGCCCUCCUCCGCGUGGACCGUACAUCGCUCAUCUUUCCGGUCUUUUGCCUUUCUCUCGUCGAUGUGUACACCCCCACCCCUCCACGUGUUGUUUGCUCUCUUGAUGGCGGUGCAACGCUGCUUUACUGUGUGGCCGGCCGCUGCUCACUCCCUCCCUGUAUCCCCUCUUUAUGUAUAUUCGUGUGUUCAGUGUGUUUCCGUUGCCCUUCGCCGGUACUGUGCGGCCCAUGGCCACAGUCACUCUCUCUCCCCUCAUCCCUUAUGUUCUGCCUUUGCCUUCGCCUCUUUCUCUCUUGCAGCUGUGUCGCACAAUCAAGAUCGGCUCUCUCGCGCGAUCACGGGCGCUUGAGCAUCUGUGGGCGCGUACGUCUGCUGGAGGCAGCGUUAGUCCGAUACGGGGGAUACAGGUGCCGGCAAAGUGGAAAAGUGGCGGAGCCUCCACGGGCAGCGCCGCGAGUCGCUGUCUUGCUGUGCCUGUGCGUGCUCCUCGCCGUGCCUCAGUCUUCAAGGAUGGUAGCCGUGGCAACUAGCACCGUCACGCCGGCGGCUCACCUGGCACCUGGGCCAUUCCUCCCCGACCCCCUCUCUCUGCAGCAUCGUCGUCGGCCACGCCGCCUUAUCUUUUGAGUGAGCGUGCGGCUCUCCGGCUCAUCUCGCCUCUCCUCCGGCUCACUCCUCUCCGCAUCUCGACUCUCUUCCUUCCUUUCUGUUUCACGCUCUGCUGCCUCCCCUCCCCCGACCCGCGCGCACAUCACGCGCAUCUCUCUUACCGGUGUCCCGCUGCCCCAG